AUUGAACGCUGGCGGCAUGCCUUACACAUGCAAGUCGAACGGCAGCAUGGAGAGCUUGCUCUCUGAUGGCGAGUGGCGAACGGGUGAGUAAAGCAUCGGAACGUACCGUGUAGUGGGGGAUAACGUAGCGAAAGUUACGCUAAUACCGCAUACGCACUGAGGUGGAAAGCAGGGGAUAGCAAGACCUUGCGCGAUACGAGCGGCCGAUGUCCGAUUAGCUAGUUGGUAGGGUAAAGGCCUACCAAGGCGACGAUCGGUAGCGGGUCUGAGAGGAUGAUCCGCCACACUGGGACUGAGACACGGCCCAGACUCCUACGGGAGGCAGCAGUGGGGAAUUUUGGACAAUGGGGGCAACCCUGAUCCAGCCAUGCCGCGUGAGUGAAGAAGGCCUUCGGGUUGUAAAGCUCUUUCGGCCGGGAAGAAAUCGCACAGGCUAAUACUCUGUGUGGAUGACGGUACCGGCAUAAGAAGCACCGGCUAACUACGUGCCAGCCGCCGCAGUAA
rnacentral:rRNA from 1 species